UACAGAGGGUGCGAGCGUUGUUCGGAAUUAUUGGGCGUAGAGGGCGCGUAGGCGGUGCGGUAAGUCACCUGUGAAAUCUCCUGGCUCAACUGGGAGCUUGCAGGCGAAACUGCCGUGCUGGAGUGUGGGAGAGGUGCGUGGAAUUCCUGGUGUAGCGGUGAAAUGCGUAGAUAUCAGGAGGAACACCUGUGGCGAAAGCGGCGCACUGGACCACAACUGACGCUGAGGCGCGAAAGCUAGGGGAGCAAACAGG
rnacentral:rRNA from 1 species